rnacentral:lncRNA from 1 species
CUUAAAAGUGACCAGACUUGGGAGUAUCCUUCCCUACCUACUCUGGACUACACAGACAUGGAGAAAAGCACUGCAUGGAGAAGGAUUAGAGGAUUAGAGAUCACAGCAUCAUAAAACAGAGGAAACCGAGUAAAGUGGAAAAGCUGUCCUGAUCAUAUGGCAUGCACACCAGACUGCAAAAGGACGUCCACACUAUUUAACAGGACUGUGGCAAAAUAGCUUUAAAGUAAGGCGAGCAUUGUGUAUGGCCCAAGCAUACCCUGUAGGAAGAGCAAAGCUAGGCUCACCUCUCAGAGACUGUGUCUCAGAAAGAGGCUUCCUUUCUUGCCUAGGUUCUUCCAUGAAAUUCGUCAUUGGCAGGUGCUUUUCCAGGGAGAUGCCUGUGCUCUCCCUGUGCAGACUCUGUGCACAAGGAAGUGGCUUUAGAGAGUGUGUUUUCUGAUGCCUCCUUUAUAUUCUAAAUGUAUAACUAGUAAAACAACAAUUACUACCGCUUGGUGAAAUUGUUUUUUGUUUUUUUCUGAAAACUGCCUCUGACUCCACCCUGUACACUGACUAAGCAGGGCCCUUAAAAAACUUAUAAAAAGUUGUUUUUUUUUUUUUUUUUUUUUCAAAUUAAAAACAUGAAAAUUACACCAAAAAGAUGGAACUACUUUUGUAGCACAACUCAGAACUUCUGUUCGUAACACCGGACUAGAGAAGAGGUCGCUUUUGGCUGAAUCUAAUGACCUUAGAAGGGAAAGGCCAUUGCUGGGCAUUUGGGGAACCAAAGCAAUUUCAGCUAACAGUGACCAGUUUUUAGAAUGGAGCUUAUGAUCAGAGGACCAUAAACCCUCAUCCACCCUAGAGCUCAAUGCCAGAAAAAUAAAAAAUAAUACAAAAAAUAAAGGAAAAUAGCUUUUUGUGCUAUAUCAGAAUGCUGGCAGGUAGACAAUUCAGUAACCUGUGCCACUUUCUAAACAUCUGUAAGACCACAAAAAAAAAAUGGGUUUUACAGAAUACGAAGACCAACACAGUCUUAGAGGAUCAUUCAACCUUUCCUACAUGCCAAGCUGUGUGAUUGGAAAAUAGAAGAGCCAUAGCUCUUGCAAGAUUAGAGGAAAAGCAAGUAUUUGUCAAGAGCCAAAGAAAUGUGUUCAAAUAAUGGAGUUUCCUCUGUGUCGCACACAGCUUUUCCUUCCCGUAGGUACUAAGAGUUCUUUGGUGGUUAGAGAGAUGGCCUGGAGCUCAGGGCAGGAGAUGACGCUGAAGAGCUACCUACUCAUUAACCCCAUUCCAUGGAAAAACAGGUGCUUACAGGAAAGGAUAGGGAGGAAAAAGAAAUGUAAAUGAAUCUAUUGUUUGGUAGGAAAGUUGAUUCACUGAUUAUCUAUGGAUUUCAAUGAUCUGUGCUUUACUCUUGCUACUGUGGAUAACCAAAGGUCACUGUUAACGUAUCUUUUGCUUAAAAAUGUUAAUAUGCUUAUUAUGCUUUAAAAUCUAGCUAUUUAAGGGCAUGAAUGGUUUAAAGCAAAUUUUUACAUCAUGUCAUUAUGGCCCUGAAAAAAGGAGAUUCUGCCAAUGGAAAGGGUUUUGUUUAGCCCCAGUUAAGAUUUCAACCUAUUCUGUGUCAGUUUAUAGUUUUUCCAGGAUGUGGAAAAUAUUAAAUGAAGAAAGCAUCAUUUUCUUCAUUUAAUAAAGUAUUACAUUCCCAGAUAAAUUAGUAUAUACAUAGGAGAAUGGUUAGUGUUAAAUACUAGGUUUUAAUUCUCCGUUUAGGAAACUCCUUACAGAUGGACUUCCUUGUUCUCCGGCAAC